rnacentral:rRNA from 1 species
GAUGAACGCUAGCGGGAGGCCUAACGCAUGCAAGCCGAGCGGUAUUGUUUCUUCGGACAUGAGAGAGCGGCGUACGGGUGCGUAACACGUGUGCAACCUGCCUUUAUCUGGGGGAUAGCCUUUCGAAAGGAAGAUUAAUACUCCAUAAUAUAUUGAACGGCAUCGUUUAAUAUUGAAAGCUCCGGCGGAUAGAGAUGGGCACGCGCAAGAUUAGCUAGUUGGUGAGGUAACGGCUCACCAAGGCGAUGAUCUUUAGGGGGCCUGAGAGGGUGAUCCCCCACACUGGUACUGAGACACGGACCAGACUCCUACGGGAGGCAGCAGUGAGGAAUAUUGGUCAAUGGGUGCAAGCCUGAACCAGCCAUCCCGCGUGAAGGACGACUGCCCUAUGGGUUGUAAACUUCUUUUGUAUAGGGAUAAACCUACCCUCGAGAGGGUAGCUGAAGGUACUAUACGAAUAAGCACCGGCUAACUCCGUG